AACUAAGAAAUAGGGAGAAAACACAAUACAUUUCGCUUCAUUCUUUUCAAGAUAACAGAUACAGUAUUAUUUACCCCACAUACAUACAAACAACAGAAAUACUUAAACAACACUGCAUCCUCCAGCAAAGCAAACUGGACAUCAUUAGGCUCACGGCAGAUUAAGCCAUGAAAAUCAGAAAGAGCAGCCCUUGUGUUCUUUCGCUAACUACAACAGAUAAUUUCCUCCGACUGGGCACUCUUCUUCGCUUUCUGAUUGAUUGCUCACAUGCAUGCUUUCAUAAUCUUUCCUUGGCUAACUGUAUGUUUCUAUAAGUUCAACGGCACAUAAAAGGGCAGGUCGUCUUAGUUUCCCCAAACAUUGUCCCAUGAGUUGUUGGCAGCUUUUGGUGCCUCAAAAAGCUGCUGGCCAGGUCCCUCGAAUGCAGGGGCCUCAGCGCCCUGAACGCGGCCUUUCUUUGACUUUGUUCGGAC
rnacentral:lncRNA from 1 species